ACGCUGGCGGCGUGCUUAACACAUGCAAGUCGAGCGAACAAAGCUCCUUCGGGAGUGGAGUUAGCGGCGGACGGGUGAGUAACACGUGGGUAACCUGCCUUAUAGAGGGGGAUAGCCUUCCGAAAGGAAGAUUAAUACCGCAUAAGAAGUAGAAGUCGCAUGGCUUCAGCUUUAAAGGAGCAAUCCGCUAUAAGAUGGACCCGCGGCGCAUUAGCUAGUUGGCGAGGUAACGGCUCACCAAGGCGACGAUGCGUAGCCGACCUGAGAGGGUGAUCGGCCACAUUGGAACUGAGACACGGUCCAGACUCCUACGGGAGGCAGCAGUGGGGAAUAUUGCGCAAUGGGGGCAACCCUGACGCAGCAACGCCGCGUGAAGGAUGAAGGUCUUCGGAUUGUAAACUUUUGUCUUUAGGGACGAAAAAGGACGGUACCUAAGGAGGAAGCCACGGCUAACUACGUG
rnacentral:rRNA from 1 species